UGAAAGGUGAAGUGCGUUGUAUUCAUGUGUUAAAUUAGGCAUGUAGCGUUUUCAAUCUGAUAUUCAAAGAAAUGUUGAGUGACCUUAAAACUGCAUUGUGGAAGAUAAGUUUUUUGGAUGCUAUCGGGGUGUUGGAAUUCGCCAAAUAGUUCUACUUGGGCCAUAUCAACAAGUGGUUGUAGCAGAAGUAGAGCAGAUAAGCUUGUGUAAGCUUAUCAGAGUUUAAAGAACAGAAUGUAAUUCAUAGUUUUUGAGGCCAAGAUCCCUUUUCCCCUCCCUUUCCUGUCCUCUUUUUCUGUAGUGCUAACAGCAGGGCACAGAAGAGCCGAUUAAAAAAAAGUAUUGAGAGGAUUUGGGAACACAUUCUCUGGCGUCACAACCAAACAGCUGCAAGAAAAAAUCUUUUGAACCCUGCCCUCCCAAAAAGACAAUGAUUUCUCGAUGUUCCCAAAAAGAAUAACAGCUCCUGAACUCAGCCACAAUGCUUUGCGCUGUACGACAAGGAGAAAAGCGUCUCCGUGGACGGGCUCUGUGUGAAGGCUUUGCAUGAUGCAGCAGAUGCACAUCUCCAUUACGGAACCCUGACCGAGACAAUUCCACAGUAUGUCCAUCAAACUCUUGUUCUCGCUGAUUUCCUCGCUCCUGCCGGGAUGACAGAGGACAGUGAGGGCCGCAGUACCCCUGCAGUGAACUCGACUGCUUGCAGUCAAGCUGAUAUUUAGUAAACAUGUAAAACCUGCAUUUAUCUUCAGGAUGAGUCUCUGAAAUUUUGUUCAGUGAUGUGAAUCCCAGUUGAGGUUGUUCACAAAGGUUGAAGAGAAUGCCGCUAGACUGGUGAACAUGCUGCGUCUUUUAUCCAAAAGUCUCAUGGUGUUUGGAUUUUUAACUUGAUUUACAAUCUCAAGUGAGAGAAUGUUCCAGAACAGGUCUUGUGAGGGGUGGUCAAUAAAUCCAAAAUGUGAGUGAUGAUGUAAGCUAUUCGCAGAGAUCACCUUUUGCUUUUUGUACUUUGCAUUUCUGUCCAGUGUUAAAUACUAUCGUCAAAAUGUGUUAUGUGCAAUAUGCAAAUGAGGUGUGGCUAUCACUUUUAGAGAUUUCUUUAUUUUUAAAUCCUUUCUGGAGAACUUGCAGCACUGCACGUUGUCCUCUGGGUGAACCGUCAUUUAUCAGAGGAUGAUUUAUUGGUCAUUGUUUGGGAUUUUGUAAUUGUUGAAAAUCCUCCCGUGUUUCUCUGAAAACCCAGAGGUACCAGAACAUCACUGUCUUAAAAUAUUCGAGAUAGUUGCUGUGACAUCUCAGAUAAGAAAAAUGGCAAAAUAUAAAAUAAGGAAUGUAUUCAACCCAAAGGACUGAGCUUUUAUUUUGACAUUUUCUAUUCCAUCCCACAACACAUCGCAAAUGUGAGCAAUCAGGCUGGAACUUAUUGUGCAGGAAAUUUGUUGUGCUUUAGUGCUUUUUUUAAAUUGCUCCAUCAACUUAGAUAAGUGAAAACAAAUACACUGUGUCUCCAGAAAUGGCGUACGAUAAGGAAAAUAUAUUUGUGACAGCCUGUUUGAGUUGAUAAAUUAAAUAAAUUUUACAUUGAUGAAAUUAGUGUCAGUAAUUGUCAAACAAUGGAACAUUUGUGUCUGUACAUUUCUUUACUAAUCAUUCUUGCAGUUACAGUGAAGCAAAGCUCUAUUUAACAAAUCCAAGUUGAAGCCAAAACACAACAGGCAAGAAUUAAAGUGUGUGAUUAGAGUUGACAUUCACCCCUGAGAUGAUGGCAAGCAGGUAAGCAGCUCUUUUGGCAUCUGAGGAAAAAUGUGUAAAUUCAGCAGUCUUGCUUGAGGGAUGCCUUGGGUUGUUUUCUGUUUUGUGGAACUAAAUGAAAAGUAAGUGGGCUUGGGCAUAACAGAGGUGUUCAAAACAAGCACAAUCUCAAAUGCAAGAUGACAAUUUCGGCAAAAUAUGAUAAAAGAGCUAAAGAGUUAUCAUUGUUUGGCGUGGGGAUUUAUUUUUUACAAAUCAUUCUGAGCAGGAUUGUAAAAACAUGAAUAUAAAUAUUUUCAUUCUGCAUGUGAUAUUUGAAGAAAAAAAAGUCACAAAUAUCGUUGAUGAUAGAAAAUAAAUGACGUAAAAAGUCUUCUCAGGAGAGGAAACGCUAUUCUGUGCAAUAUUGUUCCAAUUUUUCAAUACUUUCUGACAAAGGUCAUUUUUCUUCUCAGGUACGAUUUACAGCUGAUCUUGAUGAAACGGCCAUGGAUUUUUCUUUCAUGUCAAAGCAAGAGAUCUGUGGAUUAUCCAAACAAAGAAGCUUGAGGUUACCACGGGUCAUGGUGCAUAAUAUUUCGCAUGCUGUCAAAUGAAUUUCCUUCACCGAUAAUUUUUUCUCAGCGCAACCAAACUUUUAAACUUUUUCAUUUACGAUAUUUACUUACUACUCACCUUAAAACAACAUUUUUAGCGAAUCUCAUAUGACAUUUACGAACGGUUGCCACUCACCGCUGCUGCGCAUUCUCAUUGUCUGCUUUUGUAAAAAUAUAAACACCCCCAUUGCAGGACAAACCCAUCCAUUAGAUUAAAUUCUAUAGUCCAUAUCAGAUCCAAAUACAAAGAACAUUCCAUUCCAUUGAAAUGUGUUGAGAU